UGGCAAUACUUGACAGGGAUUAGGA
rnacentral:misc_RNA from 1 species